CCUACGGGGAGCAGCAGUGGGGGAUAUUGCACAAUGGGGGCAACCCUGAUGCAGCGACGCCGCGUGGGCGAAGAAGUAUUUCGGUAUGUAAAGCCCUAUCAGCAGGGAAGAAGAAGUGACGGUACCUGAGUAAGAAGCACCGGCUAAAUACGUGCCAGCAGCCGCGGUAAUACGUAUGGUGCAAGCGUUAUCCGGAUUUACUGGGUGUAAAGGGAGCGCAGGCGGCACGGCAAGCCUGAUGUGAACGCCCGGGGCUCAACCGGGGGACUGCAUUGGGAACUACCGGGCUGGAGUGCCGGAGAGGUAGGCGGAAUUCCUAGUGUAGCGGUGAAAUGCGUAGAGAUUAGGAGGAACACCAGUGGCGAAGGCGGCCUACUGGACGGUGACUGACGCUGAGGCUCGAAAGCGUGGGGAGCAAACAGGAUUAGAUACCCCAGUAGUC
rnacentral:rRNA from 1 species